UACGUAGGGGGCAAGCGUUGUCCGGAUUCAUUGGGCGUAAAGAGCGUGUAGGCGGCCAGACAGGUCCGUUGUGAAAACUCGAGGCUCAACCUCGAGACGCCGAUGGAAACCGUCUGGCUAGAGUCCGGAAGAGGAGAGUGGAAUUCCUGGUGUAGCGGUGAAAUGCGCAGAUAUCAGGAAGAACACCCGUGGCUAAGGCGACUCUCUAGUACGGUACUGACGCUGAGACGCGAAAGCGUGGGGAGCGAACAGG
rnacentral:rRNA from 1 species